UACAUACAUCUUCACUUUUUUCUUGUCAUGAAUACUUUAAAAGGAAAAAAUGAAAAAAAAAGAUUCCAUACUUGGUGUACAAGGGCUACUAGUUCAUCAUAACCUCUCGUGUAUAUUAUAUGCCUAUUAGAGGGGAGUUAUGAUGAACUAGUAGCCCUUGUACACCAAGUAUGGAAUCUUUUUUUUUCAUUUUUUCCUUUUAAAGUAUUCAUGACAAGAAAAAAGUGAAGAUGUA